CAAACUGGAGAUGGCGACCGGCGCACGGGUGAGUAACACGUAUCCAACCUGCCGAUAACUCGGGGAUAGCCUUUCGAAAGAAAGAUUAAUACCCGAUGGUAUAAUCAGACCGCAUGGUCUUGUUAUUAAAGAAUUUCGGUUAUCGAUGGGGAUGCGUUCCAUUAGGCAGUUGGUGAGGUAACGGCCCACCAAACCUUCGAUGGAUAGGGGUUCUGGGAGGAAGGUCCCCCACAUUGGAAUUGAGACACGGUCCAA
rnacentral:rRNA from 1 species